AACGAACGCUGGCGGUAGGCCUAACACAUGCAAGUCGAGCGAAGCCUUCGGGCUUAGCGGCGGACGGGUGAGUAACGCGUGGGAACGUGCCCUUUGGUACGGAAUAGCCCCGGGAAACUGGGAGUAAUACCGUAUGUGGUCGAGAGACGAAAGAUUUAUCGCCAAAGGAUCGGCCCGCGUUGGAUUAGGUAGUUGGUGGGGUAAUGGCCUACCAAGCCGACGAUCCAUAGCUGGUUUGAGAGGAUGAUCAGCCACACUGGGACUGAGACACGGCCAAGACUGCUACGGGAGGAGGCAGUGGGGAAUCUUGGACAAUGGGGGAAACCCUGAUCUAGCCACGCCGCGUGAGCGAUGAAGGCCUUAGGGUUGUAAAGAGCUUUCAGUGGGGAAGAUAAUGACUGUACCCACAGAAGAAGCCCCGGCUAACUCCGUGCCAGCCGCCGCCGUAACAC
rnacentral:rRNA from 1 species